ensembl:lncRNA
AAAAAGGGAUGGCAGAUGGGCUUCUAAGUGAAAGACAUGGCUUGCAAAGAGGAAUAAAAGAUGCGACUGUGGUGUGGGGAUUUGGGGCAAAUCCUAAGUGGUUCGAAAUGUGUAGACAAAAAAACUGUAAAGGGAAAGGAGCUGAGAAGGGACAUGUGGAUGAGAAAGAGCCACUGGUGGAAGAAGGAAGACAGGAGCCCAGGAGCAGUGAAGUUUCUGGCAUCUACAAUGAGUGACACUGUACUAUCGCUGACACUCAGGAAUGAGGACAACAAGCUUAUAAAGACACCAAGAGGAGAACAGCUUGACCCACUGUACACUCCCAACAUGAUACCUGCUUCACCACUGGCCCAAAGACAACAGGACAAAUCAACCACAGACUGAAACCUCCAAAACUGUGAGCUAAAAUAAGGAUAAAGCCACCGAAGCACAGCCAAGUGAGUGGCCAGCCCAGGGUCACGCAGCACGUUUGUCAGCCUCCAGUCUCAGCUCUUCAUUGCUGUAUGAAUCCACUUCUCAAACCCCAGAUGGGUUGGAAUCAGAGCCUCCCCUUUACUAACUUCAGCUUCAUGGUGGC